GAUCUGUGAUGAGACUUAGCCAAAUCUGAACACCAUUUGAUCAGACGGUCAUGUGGUGCAUGACUUAACCUUAGUUCUGAGA